CCCUUAGAUGUUCUGGGCUGCACGCGUGCUACACUGAUAUUGCCAGAAUGUAAUAUCUUAUCCGAAAUGGAUUGGGUAAUCAAGUAAUGAAGUUUCAUGCUUGGAAUCGGUAAUUGUAAUUUUAUCGUGAACGGGGAAUUCCUAGUAAGCAUUAGUCAUCAGCUAGUGUUGAUUAUGUCCCUGCCCUUUGUACACACCGCCCGUCGCUCCUACCGAUUGAAUGAUCCGGUGAACCCCUCGGAUCGGGGACGGUGCCCGUCGGUCUCCGGCGGGCCAGCCCUCGAAAAGUUGGGUAAACCUUAUCAUUUAGAGGAAGGAGAAGUCGUAACA
rnacentral:rRNA from 1 species